UCAGUUCCUUCAAGCUUCUUCGCUUCUCAGUGGUUCUGAGUCGUUCUGCAGAACAAACCCAUGUUGAUCUGAUCAGAUAAACAACACACGGUCGCAGGAUGCUUUCUUUCUUACUCGUCGUCUGUCUGACGCUGGCUGGAGCUGAUUCACAUCGUCACUACGGAAGGAAAUCCUCAAGCGAUGAGGAGAUUUAUUUCAAUCAUUACCCCGCUCACAAGCCUACUUGGUUUAACAUCUUUUGGAAGUUCUAUCCAUGGAUUAUACCUGGUCCCGCCCCUGCUCCAGGCCCCGCCCCUGCUCCAGGACCCACUCCUGCCCCACCCGUUACCACAAACCGUGGAGACAGCGGUUAAAACUCUUCCAGACCCGGAUCUGUCCUGAACGAAUUACAGAUAAACCUCUGAGCUCACGACCAGGAAGAUUUAUAAAGUAUUCAUUCUUUAAAUAAAAUUUGAUGCAUUGUGCAGGCGUGUGUGUGUGUGUGUGUGUGUGCGUGUGUGUGUGUGUGUGUGAGAAGAAAGUAAAAUGUUUUCAUUUCCUUAUAAAGUGACUCAGAUUUAAAGUCAAGAACAAAUAUUUAGGUAAAAGUUUUAUUUAGAAAAGUUUCACUGCGGUAUUUUUGCUCUACAGAAUCAUUUUAAUAACCUUAUGAACAUCAUUCCUCUGUGAAACUGUUGAUUUGUCUCCUUCAUUACUGUGUGUGUGUGUGUGUGUGUGUGUGUGUGUGUGUGUGUGUUAGGUCUUCUUGGUCAUGAACUCAGACUUUUUUUUACUG
ensembl:lncRNA